CUCAUUUGAAAUUUCAUAAAUAAAAAAGAAAAUUUCUUCAAACAUUUUUUUGAGAGGAUUAAUAUUCAACAGCAUAGUGAAUUUCUCUAAGAGAAAACAAAAAUUUUAAGUUCAUUAGAACACAUUCAUUCUGUGUCAGAAACCGAUGCUGUGUCAACUAUUUAAUCACAAUCCAAAUUUAGAGCUGAAUCCAGCUUGAAUGUUGUGUCCAUACUUGCCCCA
rnacentral:lncRNA from 1 species